GACAGAGGGUGCAAACGUUGUUCGGAAUUAUUGGGCGUAAAGCGCGUGUAGGCUGCUUUGCAAGUCGGAUGUGAAAGCCCCGGGCUCAACCUGGGAAGUGCACUCGAAACUGCAGAGCUCGAGUCCUGGAGAGGAAGGCGGAAUUCUCGGUGUAGAGGUGAAAUUCGUAGAUAUCGAGAGGAACACCGGUGGCGGAGGCGGCCUUCUGGACAGUGACUGACGCUGAGACGCGAAAGCGUGGGGAGCAAACAGG
rnacentral:rRNA from 1 species